AUUGAACGCUGGCGGCAGGCUUAACACAUGCAAGUCGAGCGGAGAUGAGGUGCUUGCACCUUAUCUUAGCGGCGGACGGGUGAGUAAUGCUUAGGAAUCUGCCUAUUAGUGGGGGACAACAUUCCGAAAGGAAUGCUAAUACCGCAUACGUCCUACGGGAGAAAGCAGGGGACCUUCGGGCCUUGCGCUAAUAGAUGAGCCUAAGUCGGAUUAGCUAGUUGGUGGGGUAAAGGCCUACCAAGGCGACGAUCUGUAGCGGGUCUGAGAGGAUGAUCCGCCACACUGGGACUGAGACACGGCCCAGACUCCUACGGGAGGCAGCAGUGGGGAAUAUUGGACAAUGGGCGGAAGCCUGAUCCAGCCAUGCCGCGUGUGUGAAGAAGGCCUUUUGGUUGUAAAGCACUUUAAGCGAGGAGGAGGCUACUAGUACUAAUACUACUGGAUAGUGGACGUUACUCGCAGAAUAAGCACCGGCUAACUCUGUGCCAGCAGCCGCCGUAA
rnacentral:rRNA from 1 species